AGUAGGACAGAUAGAUACUGGUCAGUUAGAGACAGUAGGAUAGAUAGAUACUGGUCAGUUAGAGACAGUAGGACAGAUAGAUACUGGUCAGUUAGAGACAGUAGGAUAGAUAGAUACUGGUCAGUUAGAGACAGUAGGAUAGAUAGAUACUGGUCAGUUAGAGACAGUAGGAUAGAUAGAUACUGGUCAGUUAGAGACAGUAGGAUAGAUAGAUACUGGUCAGUUAGAGACAGUAGGAUAGAUAGUGGUCAGUUAGAGACAGUAGGAUAGAUACUGGUCAGUUAGAGACAGUAGGAUAGAUACUGGUCAGUUAGAGACAGUAGGAUAGAUAGAUACUGGUCAGUUAGAGACAGUAGGACAGAUAGAUACUGGUCAGUUAGAGACAGUAGGACAGAUACUGGUCAGUUAGAGACAGUAGGACAGAUAGAUACAGGUCAGUUAGAGACAGACAGAUAGAUACUGGUCAGUUAGAGACAGUAGGAUAGAUACUGGUCAGUUAGAGACAGUAGGACAGAUAGAUACUGGUCAGUUAGAGACAGUAGGAUAGAUAGAUACUGGUCAGUUAGAGACAGUAGGAUAGAUAGAUACUGGUCAGUUAGAGACAGUAGGAUAGAUAGAUACUGGUCAGUUAGAGACAGUAGGAUAGAUACUGGUCAGUUAGAGACAGUAGGACAGAUAGAU
ensembl:lncRNA